UACAGAGGUCUCAAGCGUUUGUUCGGAUUCAUUGGGCGUAAAGGGUGUGUAGGUGGCGCCGUAAGUCGGGUGUGAAAUUUCGGAGCUUAACUCCGAAACUGCAUUCGAUACUGCGGUGCUUGAGGACUGGAGAGGAGACUGGAAUUCAUGGUGUAGCAGUGAAAUGCGUAGAGAUCAUGAGGAAGACCAGUGGCGAAGGCGGGUCUCUGGACAGUUCCUGACACUGGAGAACACGGAAGGCCAGGGGAGCAAACGGG
rnacentral:rRNA from 1 species